GCCAGGCGCGGUGGUGCGUGCCUGUAGUCCCAGCUACUCAGGAGGCUGAGGUGGGAAUAUUGCUUGAGCCCAGGAGUUAUGGACUGUAGUGCGCUAUGCCGACCGGGUGUCUGCACUAAGUUCAGCACCAAUAUGGUGACCUCCUGGGAGUGGGGGACCACCGGGUUGCCUAAGGAGGGGUGAACCGGCCCAGGUCAGAAAUGGAGCAGGUCAAAACUCCUGUGCUGAUCAGUAGUGGGAUCGCAACUGUGAAUAGCCACUGCACUCCAGCCUGGGCAACAUAGUGAGACCNNN
rnacentral:SRP_RNA from 1 species